CAUAGCGUAUUUGAAGAUUGAAGCAUGAAACAAACUUGAGCUGAGGAAGUGAGUUUGGUUAAAAAAUUUUGGAUGUACAAUUUUGCAGGAGUUCUCGAAUAAUAGGUUGAUGUGGAGCAUUUUGUAGUUACAAUGAUAAUUUAAAAGAAAGAAGUGAAAUUUGACACUGCAUAAAACAGAGUAAAAGUAUGGUGGAGUAUGCUUAAUUUGAUCCUCCUCACCAACACUGGAUUGGCAUCAAACACGAGUCAGACCCUGUUACAGAAGAAACUUGGUUUACUAUGUCCUAAAACAAUUGUAAACUUUCUGAGGUUAUAAAGGUUGUGCCCCAUCUCUCUAAUCGGUGUAUUACCUUCAUUUUUAUAUGACCAACUGGGCAGUAGUGAUAUAUGAGUGAACCAUCGCAAUCAUGCACAAUGAAAGCUAUCGCUGAAGAGUGGCCUAGUGUUUAAGUAAGAGUUGCAUUUGGUCGAUAUUUAGUGGCAGCAGAGAUUAAAAUCCCAAUCCUUUCCUUUGUUCAGGUAUAGUUAAGUCUGUUGUGAAUCUGUUUCCUGAUUCGCUACCAUCUUGAUAUUCUUUAGAACCACUUCAAAAUUUUUAAUAACUUAUUUUCUUCUUUGGAGUUUGUAGUACACAAGGGCUUCAAAUUUUGUAUCUAAAAUGCCAGUUAUUAUAGCUUCUAAUUGUUGUUUCUAAGAGGUAAGCUUUAGAAAUUGCAAAUCUUUUCAACAACUCAAGAAUUAAGAAUGCAAUUUUGUAUAUUUCAUGCCUCUUCGUAUGAAUUUUCUGUUGUGCAUGUGAUAUAAGUUUUAAUAUGUUUCUUCAUAAUAAUAACUUAAAAUUUUGAUCUCAACAUAGGGUGGUGAGGUGGUCCAUCUUGCUGUAGAAUGACAAUUGCAUAAAGUGAAAUUGACACUCCACCCCAUAGGAACAUGAUUCUGUUACUGGAGGUACUAAAUUUUUCAGUAGACCUUUCUCCGAUCAAGGCUAGGGAUGACUGCUUCCCAUAAGCAAGUUCUGAGUUAUCAAAAAGUGUCAUCUUGCUUGUGUCAUUCAGUCCAGCUAUUUUUGCUGAAAGAGAAACCUACGGAAUGUUCAAGAUAUACAUAACACUUACAUAAUGUACUGAUAUUGUAUAUGUAUAGGAAGAAGGGUAGAAUGCUGCAGAGCAGAGUAAUUGGUGAAGUAAUGUGACAGCCACGGAUACAUGGAUGGCUUAUGGAUUUCCUUCUCUAGUUGUCUACUCAUUGUACUGCUACAAAGUAGAAGGAGAAGGAGUACUAUUCUGCUCUUAUUACUUCAACUAUGGGUAUGGGGAUUUAAGUUGCAUAAAUCUUCAUAAAAACUUGUAUAAUUUUUUUUAUUCAAAGUUUGUACCUAUUAUGCAACUUCCUAGAGCUUAUAAUUGUUGUAGGUUAAACUCAGUUAUGUCCCCCCUUAUCUCUCUAGCACCAUCAUUUUCUUCUUUCUUUGGAUUAACCAAUGAAAACCCCCAUAUUUCUAAGGAAGUUAUAUUUGCAAUUCUAUUAUUAUGAACUUUGUACAAGGACCGUGUGUAUAAAAGUUAUUUCAGGGUGAAUAAAGAGUAGCCUCCA